rnacentral:rRNA from 1 species
GUGGGGAAUAUUGGGCAAUGGGGGCAACCCUGACCCAGCGACGCCGCGUGGGUGAAGAAAUCCCUCGGGAUGUAAAGCCCUGUUGUAUGGGAAGAGCAGAAGACGGUACCAUACGAGGAAGCCCCGGCAAACUACGUGCCAGCAGCCGCGGUAAUACGUAGGGGGCAAGCGUUGUCCGGAAUUACUGGGCGUAAAGCGCACGCAGGCUGACUUAUAAGUCGGUAGUCAAAUACGGAGGCUCAACUUCCGGAUAUCUAUCGAUACUGUAAAUCUAGAGUAUGUGAGAGGGAAGCGGAAUUCCCCGUGUAGCGGUGAAAUGCGUAGAUAUGGGGAGGAACACCAGUGGCGAAGGCGGCUUUCUGGACUAUAACUGACACUGAGGCUCGAAAGCCAGGGGAGCGAACGGGAUUAGAAACCCGUGUAGUCC